rnacentral:lncRNA from 10 species
AGCGCUUUGUCUCCCUAAGUGGCUAACUGAGGUGUGAAAGGGUCUGUGGUGAGUGGACAAAGGAGCACAAAGGGCAAAAGAUGAGGAAAUGGAGGCUUCAAGGUCAAACCCCUUGCCCAGAGACAUGCAGCAGAAAGUGAUGAAGCUGAGAUUUGAACUUGCACCUGUCUGCCUGCAAAUCCCAUCUCUUCCUGCUGUGCCAGAGACAGCAGAAGGGCCCACGGCUGUGUAGAUGUGGCCUAUUAGCCUCUCAAGUCUAGAGCAAGCCCCUCAGUGUGGGGCCCCUCCCUAGCCGCACUUCCUGCCACACCUGUCCUUCAAGCAGCCGCCUUUCUUUAGAACCCCACGUCUACUGUGGUGAUCACUCUGCAUAGCUGCUUUAGAAACAUAUGAAGAUAACAGAAGGAUCUCAUCUGCAACCCAGAGCUCUCUGUGCCUGGUGGUGACUCCCAAGAAGCUCCCAUAAGGAAGAGGUCCCUCAAAGAACACACUGAACACAGUGGACCCUCUGCUGCC